ACGAGAGACGCGGUGACAUCUCAGCCGCGUAAUUCAGUGCGUUCGUGAUAAAUGACUACCCCUGAAUACUAACCGUGUGCUCGUAAACUUUAGUAUCCACGCCGUCGUCGACGUUAUACUGACACGACAGACCCAGACGUCAGCUGCGGCUACUACCGCCCACCGAUCCGGGCUCAUAGAGGGCUUGAAGGGACACUGAAGCACUCCAGUGGAAUAGGUGAUACUGUACAAAAAGGCCUUCAAGGGACACUGAAGCACUCUAUUGAUAUGUCUGGCGGCACAGUUCAGCUCUCCAUCAAUAUGCUACUAUACAGUCA